AGCUCUGAAGUAAUUUACGUUGGAUUGCAAAUCCAAAAUUGGAGGUUGGAAACCUCCCCGAGCUU
rnacentral:tRNA from 1 species